rnacentral:rRNA from 1 species
CCUACGGGAGGCAGCAGUGAGGAAUAUUGGUCAAUGGGCGAGAGCCUGAACCAGCCAAGUCGCGUGAGGGAGUACUGCCCUAUGGGUUGUAAACCUCUUUUGUCGGGGAGCAAAAGCCGGACGUGUCCGGCUGUGAGAGUACCCGAAGAAAAAGCAUCGGCAAACUCCGUGCCAGCAGCCGCGGUAAUACGGGGGAUUCGAGCGUUAUUCGGAUUUAUUGGGUUUAAGGGGUGCGCAGGCGGAUUUUUAAGUCAGCGGUAAAAUCGUGGGGCUCAACCCCAUCCAGCCGUUGAAACUGGGGAUCUAGAGUGUGCGAGAGGUAUGCGGAAUGCGUGGUGUAGCGGUGAAAUGCAUAGAUAUCACGCAGAACCCCGAUUGCGAAGGCAGCAUACCGGUGCACAACUGACGCUCAGGCACGAAAGCGUGGGUAUCGAACAGGAUUAGAUACCCUGGUAGUC